GGCAGGGGGUACACCAGCGUGCUUGGAUCGAUGAUGAUUUCCAAUAAAACAUUCCUUGGAAAGCUGAACAAAAUGAGUGAAAACUCAAUACCGCCACUAUCAUCGUGACUGAGGUCCAGCACCUGGGAUCACAAAUGUCACCGAGGGACUCACAUGGCCUCCAUUCAUCUUGCAAGGCUUGGAUCCAGUGAGAGAGUCUUCAGAAUGUUCUUUGCUUGCCUAAAUCACCAGAAAUCAUGGCCUAAAUCAAGGCUUCACCUUUUGCUCUAAUGAUAACAUGCUUUCCGGUUGAGGAGAUCAUUGUCAGUAUCUUGGAAUUUAGCCCUAUCAACUCCUUCAGCAAUAAUGUAUAGUAGGUUGUGAGGAAAAUGUAAGUUUAGCGGGGGCAGCAUAGUUCAACAAUGUACACUGGAAUGUCAGGAAAUGUGUUUCUGUCCGUGUCUGAAGCCUUCGCAUGAAUGAUGACACUUCUGUUUCAUAAAACAGAGAUACAUAACGGGAAGGUUAAAGGCGACAUGUGGAAUGAGGCAGUAGCAAUUCUCAGGAACUAUGGGAAUGUGGACUCUUCCUGUGUGAAAACAAAGCUCUGUUUUCUUGAAAGACUGAUUGUGGCCAUGGCAAUUAGGUUGGAAAGAGAGCCUUGGAAUUUAAAAGGUUGGCAUGUAGCCUUCUUGUCUGUGGAUUUAGAAGUGCGUGCUUUCAAAUGUCCCAGGAUUCAUACCACCUUCAUGGAUAUAUGGAGAACACCCAUGUUAAUCCUAGUUUCUAUGUUUAUUGUUGGGACAUUUUUGUCAGUCUAUCCGGGUAGUUUGCCAGCAGUUCUUAUGGAUUGACUGUACCAAAAUGGUCUGGACAUACAUCUCCUCCUCUUCUAGGAUCUAAGAAUGUGAUCAUGCAAGUUUGAAUCUUACACACACUCCUUCUAGGAAUUUUAUAUUUUGGUAUGGCCGUAGAAGAUAGGCAUGGUUUGUCUGCGGGAUUAUCUCUCCUUAUGGUCUUGAUGUGGCCUUGCUGAAGGUUAACUUGGCAUUUUGGCUAUGUGUUUUGGGGCUGAUGGUAGUCCUGUUAUCUUAGACAUUGUUCUUUUCUCCAAGCAAAUAUCAACAAGAAAUUGUGUUUCCAUUUGAUUAUGAAAGUGAGCUGUAUGCUUAGGAUCAUGCUGUUGAUAAUAACAUAUAUCUCAGUGACUACAGGUUAUGCUUGUGUUUGGUGACCUGAGAGGGUUUGAACAGACACUUUCUCUGUGGUGAUCAAUGUCAGAUACCACAGCAAUAGCACUCACAGGAAUUUAGAACCAGUCAAAACCUGAAUAGGAGAUAUAUGAGCAUGGACAGAGACAGAGAGAAAGAACAAUUGUUGAAGAGGCUAAGCAUGUGUGAGACAGAGGAAGACAGUGAGAGACAGAAAGAGAGAGCGGGGGGAGAGAGGGGGUGUGAAGUGGAAAAGAGGACACUGUGAUAUUAAAGCAGAUAUCUUGAUUGACAGAAAUAAGGAAACCAAAUAGGGAGAAUGUGAGUGAGAAACUGAGAAGCUAGGAGAGUCACUGCAAGUCAAUUUCAGAGAGAAAGUGAAGAAGCGAGAUAGAGAAAGAGUACAUAAGAAGUCCAUUCAUCUAACGUGGAUGAGAAUCUUAUGUGAUAUUUGAAUCAGAUCUCAUCGAAGGCAGAGUAGGACUAAUAGGUGUAGUAUGUUAUGAUUAUGGAGGGUGCUCCGAUUGUGGCCAAAUCUAUUAAGAUUCUGAUGGUUUCCAUGGGAAGAGUAAGGCCUGAUUUUCUCUGUCAUAUCCGGCUGAACUGAGAUAUACUUAUUUUUGUAGACAACUUCCAUUAAGCCAUGUUAGUGGUCUCAUUCUGUUGUGUACCUCGUGCCAAUUUCUUUGGAUGGUUCUCAAGUGAUGUACAUACUACUGUAGUUUUCGGGAUCAGAUAUUGGCUUCGUCCCAUCUUAAGAACUUUGUUGCAUGGUAACCUCCAGGAAUUCGGUGAUAGAAUUGGGAAAAUUAUGUCCCCAAACAGUUCCUUGGAGGAAAAAUAUCUCUGAUAUGGAUUGUGAGGGCAAAUUUCUAGAAGACGGAAGGAGUGCUGAGAGAGCCCAAGUGUUCGAUAAAUUAAGAACUAACAACAAUGCAUCACAGUCUCCAUGAUUUGCAAGGAAUCCAAUAAAGUGGGGGUAUGUGCUAUUUGCUUUACUUUCAGGGACAGAGUCCCUGUCUCAUACCGGAAAAGGACGGCUUGCAGAGGAACUGAGUAUGGAACAUCAGAUGAAGUUGGAAGAAGCCUAACAUCGCCUGCCCUGAAGUCCUCAGUUGAAGCUCUCUUGCCUGAGGAUACCUGAAGUGAAAGGUAAGAAACACUUGACUUUCCAAAGGAACUCAAAGUGCUCAGGUGUUGAUGGAGCUCACAGGAGUUCCCAACCUUGAAUCAUGAUCCUAUGGGACCUGGUUCAGUCUCACUGUCUGUGGCUACUCCUGUGAUUGGAGAAUAGGCCCAUUGGUUCGUGGUAAAGGAUGUGAAUGUCUUGAAUUCUGUUCGCUCACCAAACCUGAUCUAUUUUGAGUAUACUAAGUGUCAUGACAGGGGGUACACCAGCGUGCUUGGAUCGAUUAUGAUUUCCAAUAAAACAUUCCUUGGAAAGCUGAACAAAAUGAGUGAAAACUCAAUACCGCCACUAUCAUCGUGACUGAGGUCCAGCACCUGGGAUCACAUAUGUCACCGAGGGACUCACAUGGCCUCCAUUCAUCCUGCAAGACUUGGAUCCAGUGAGAGAGCCUUCAGAAUGUUCUUUGCUUGCCUAAAUCACCAGAAAUCAUGGCCUAAAUCAAGGCUUCACCUUUUGCUCUAAUGAUAACAUGCUUUCCGGUUGAGGAGAUCAUUGUCAGUAUCUUGGAAGUUAGCCCUACCAACUCCAUCAGCAAUAAUGUAUAGUAGGUUGUGAGGCAAAUGUAAGUUUAGCGGGGGCAGCAUAGUUCAACAAUGUACACUGGAAUGUCAGGAAAUGUGUUUCUGUCCGUGUCUGAAGCCUUCGCAUGAAUGAUGACACUUCUGUUUCAUAAAACAGAGAUACAUAACGGGAAGGUUACAGGCGACAUGUGGAAUGAGGCAGUAGCAAUUCUCAGGAACUAUGGGAAUGUGGACUCUUCCUGUGUGAAAACAAAGCUCUGUUUUCUUGAAAGACUGAUUGUGGCCAUGGCAAUUAGGUUGGAAAGAGAGCCUUGGAAUUUAAAAGGUUGGCAUGUAGCCUUCUUGUCUGUGGAUUUAGAAGUGCAUGCUUUCAAAUGUCCCAGGAUUCAUACCACCUUCAUGGAUGUAUGGAGAACACCCAUUUUAAUCCUAGUUUCUAUGUUUAUUGUUGGGACAUUUUUUGUCAGUCUAUCCGGGUAGUUUGCCAGCAGUUCUUAUGGAUUGACUGUACCAAAAUGGUCUGGACAUACAUCUCCUCCUCUUCUAGGAUCUAAGAAUGUGGGCAUGCAAGUUUGAAUCUUACACACACUCCUUCUAGGAAUUUUAUAUUUUGGUAUGGCCGUAGAAGAUAGGCAUGGAGUGUCUGCGGGAUUAUCUCUCCUUAUGGUCUUGAUGUGGCCUUGCUGAAGGUUAACUUGGCAUUUUGGCUAUGUGUUUUGGGGCUGAUGGUAGUCCUGUUAUCUUAGACAUUGUUCUUUUCUCCAAGCAAAUAUCAACAAGAAAUUGUGUUUCCAUUUGAUUAUGAAAGUGAGCUGUAUGCUUAGGAUCAUGCUGUUGAUAAUAACAUAUAUCUCAGUGACUACAGGUUAUGCUUGUGUUUGGUGACCUGAGAGGGUUUGAACAGACACUUUCUCUGUGGUGAUCAAUGUCAGAUACCACAGCAAUAGCACUCACAGGAAUUUAGAACCAGUCAAAACCUGAAUAGGAGAUAUAUGAGCAUGGACAGAGACAGAGAGAAAGAACAAUUGUUGAAGAGGCUAAGCAUGUGUGAGACAGAGGAAGACAGUGAGAGACAGAAAGAGAGAGCGGGGGGAGAGAGGGGGGGUGAAGUGGAAAAGAGGACACUGUGAUAUUAAAGCAGAUAUCUUGAUUGACAGAAAUAAGGAAACCAAAUAGGGAGAAUGUGAGUGAGAAACUGAGAAGCUCGGAGAGUCACUGCAAGUCAAUUUCAGAGAGAAAGUGAAGAAGCGAGAUAGAGAAAGAGUACAUAAGAAGUCCAUUCAUCUAACGUGGAUGAGAAUCUUAUAUGAUAUUUGAAUCAGAUCUCAUCGAAGGCAGAGUAGGACUAAUAGGUGUAGUAUGUUAUGAUUAUGGAGGGUGCUCCGAUUGUGGCCAAAUCUAUUAAGAUUCUGAUGGUUUCCAUGGGAAGAGUAAGGCCUGAUUUUCUCUGUCAUAUCCGGCUGAACUGAGAUAUACUUAUUUUUGUAGACAACUUCCAUUAAGCCAUGUUAGUGGUCUCAUUCUGUUGUGUACCUCGUGCCAAUUUCUUUGGAUGGUUCUCAAGUGAUGUACAUACUACUGUAGUUUUCGGGAUCAGAUAUUGGCUUCGUCCCAUCUUAAGAUCUUUGUUGCAUGGUAACCUCCAGGAAUUCGGUGAUAGAAUUGGGAAAAUUAUGUCCCCAAACAGUUCCUUGGAGGAAAAAUAUCUCUGAUAUGGAUUGUGAGGGCAAAUUUCUAGAAGACGGAAGGAGUGCUGAGAGAGCCCAAGUGUUCGAUAAAUUAAGAACUAACAACAAUGCAUCACAGUCUCCAUGAUUUGCAAGGAAUCCAAUAAAGUGGGGGUAUGUGCUAUUUGCUUUACUUUCAGGGACAGAGUCCCUGUCUCAUACCGGAAAAGGACGGCUUGCAGAGGAACUGAGUAUGGAACAUCAGAUGAAGUUGGAAGAAGCCUAACAUCGCCUGCCCUGAAGUCCUCAGUUGAAGCUCUCUUGCCUGAGGAUACCUGAAGUGAAAGGUAAGAAACACUUGACUUUCCAAAGGAACUCAAAGUGCUCAGGUGUUGAUAGAGCUCACAGGAGUUCCCAACCUUGAAUCAUGAUCCUAUGGGACCUGGUUCAGUCUCACUGUCUGUGGCUACUCCUGUGAUUGGAGAAUAGGCCCAUUGGUUCGUGGUAAAGGAUGUGAAUGUCUUGAAUUCUGUUCGCUCACCAAACCUGAUCUAUUUUGAGUAUACUAAGUGUCAUGGCAGGGGGUACACCAGCGUGCUUGGAUCGAUGAUGAUUUCCAAUAAAACAUUCCUUGGAAAGCUGAACAAAAUGAGUGAAAACUCAAUACCGCCACUAUCAUCGUGACUGAGGUCCAGCACCUGGGAUCACAUAUGUCACCGAGGGACUCACAUGGCCUCCAUUCAUCUUGCGAGACUUGGAUCCAGUGAGAGAGCCGUCAGAAUGUUCUUUGCUUGCCUAAAUCACCAGAAAUCAUGGCCUAAAUCAAGGCUUCACCUUUUGCUCUAAUGAUAACAUGCUUUCCGGUUGAGGAGAUCAUUGUCAGUAUCUUGGAAGUUAGCCCUACCAACUCCAUCAGCAAUAAUGUAUAGUAGGUUGUGAGGCAAAUGUAAGUUUAGCGGGGGCAGCAUAGUUCAACAAUGUACACUGGAAUGUCAGGAAAUGUGUUUCUGUCCGUGUCUGAAGCCUUCGCAUGAAUGAUGACACUUCUGUUUCAUAAAACAGAGAUACAUAACGGGAAGGUUACAGGCGACAUGUGGAAUGAGGCAGUAGCAAUUCUCAGGAACUAUGGGAAUGUGGACUCUUCCUGUGUGAAAACAAAGCUCUGUUUUCUUGAAAGACUGAUUGUGGCCAUGGCAAUUAGGUUGGAAAGAGAGCCUUGGAAUUUAAAAGGUUGGCAUGUAGCCUUCUUGUCUGUGGAUUUAGAAGUGCAUGCUUUCAAAUGUCCCAGGAUUCAUACCACCUUCAUGGAUGUAUGGAGAACACCCAUUUUAAUCCUAGUUUCUAUGUUUAUUGUUGGGACAUUUUUUGUCAGUCUAUCCGGGUAGUUUGCCAGCAGUUCUUAUGGAUUGACUGUACCAAAAUGGUCUGGACAUACAUCUCCUCCUCUUCUAGGAUCUAAGAAUGUGGGCAUGCAAGUUUGAAUCUUACACACACUCCUUCUAGGAAUUUUAUAUUUUGGUAUGGCCGUAGAAGAUAGGCAUGGAGUGUCUGCGGGAUUAUCUCUCCUUAUGGUCUUGAUGUGGCCUUGCUGAAGGUUAACUUGGCAUUUUGGCUAUGUGUUUUGGGGCUGAUGGUAGUCCUGUUAUCUUAGACAUUGUUCUUUUCUCCAAGCAAAUAUCAACAAGAAAUUGUGUUUCCAUUUGAUUAUGAAAGUGAGCUGUAUGCUUAGGAUCAUGCUGUUGAUAAUAACAUAUAUCUCAGUGACUACAGGUUAUGCUUGUGUUUGGUGACCUGAGAGGGUUUGAACAGACACUUUCUCUGUGGUGAUCAAUGUCAGAUACCACAGCAAUAGCACUCACAGGAAUUUAGAACCAGUCAAAACCUGAAUAGGAGAUAUAUGAGCAUGGACAGAGACAGAGAGAAAGAACAAUUGUUGAAGAGGCUAAGCAUGUGUGAGACAGAGGAAGACAGUGAGAGACAGAAAGAGAGAGCGGGGGGAGAGAGGGGGGGUGAAGUGGAAAAGAGGACACUGUGAUAUUAAAGCAGAUAUCUUGAUUGACAGAAAUAAGGAAACCAAAUAGGGAGAAUGUGAGUGAGAAACUGAGAAGCUCGGAGAGUCACUGCAAGUCAAUUUCAGAGAGAAAGUGAAGAAGCGAGAUAGAGAAAGAGUACAUAAGAAGUCCAUUCAUCUAACGUGGAUGAGAAUCUUAUAUGAUAUUUGAAUCAGAUCUCAUCGAAGGCAGAGUAGGACUAAUAGGUGUAGUAUGUUAUGAUUAUGGAGGGUGCUCCGAUUGUGGCCAAAUCUAUUAAGAUUCUGAUGGUUUCCAUGGGAAGAGUAAGGCCUGAUUUUCUCUGUCAUAUCCGGCUGAACUGAGAUAUACUUAUUUUUGUAGACAACUUCCAUUAAGCCAUGUUAGUGGUCUCAUUCUGUUGUGUACCUCGUGCCAAUUUCUUUGGAUGGUUCUCAAGUGAUGUACAUACUACUGUAGUUUUCGGGAUCAGAUAUUGGCUUCGUCCCAUCUUAAGAUCUUUGUUGCAUGGUAACCUCCAGGAAUUCGGUGAUAGAAUUGGGAAAAUUAUGUCCCCAAACAGUUCCUUGGAGGAAAAAUAUCUCUGAUAUGGAUUGUGAGGGCAAAUUUCUAGAAGACGGAAGGAGUGCUGAGAGAGCCCAAGUGUUCGAUAAAUUAAGAACUAACAACAAUGCAUCACAGUCUCCAUGAUUUGCAAGGAAUCCAAUAAAGUGGGGGUAUGUGCUAUUUGCUUUACUUUCAGGGACAGAGUCCCUGUCUCAUACCGGAAAAGGACGGCUUGCAGAGGAACUGAGUAUGGAACAUCAGAUGAAGUUGGAAGAAGCCUAACAUCGCCUGCCCUGAAGUCCUCAGUUGAAGCUCUCUUGCCUGAGGAUACCUGAAGUGAAAGGUAAGAAACACUUGACUUUCCAAAGGAACUCAAAGUGCUCAGGUGUUGAUAGAGCUCACAGGAGUUCCCAACCUUGAAUCAUGAUCCUAUGGGACCUGGUUCAGUCUCACUGUCUGUGGCUACUCCUGUGAUUGGAGAAUAGGCCCAUUGGUUCGUGGUAAAGGAUGUGAAUGUCUUGAAUUCUGUUCGCUCACCAAACCUGAUCUAUUUUGAGUAUACUAAGUGUCAUGGCAGGGGGUACACCAGCGUGCUUGGAUCGAUGAUGAUUUCCAAUAAAACAUUCCUUGGAAAGCUGAACAAAAUGAGUGAAAACUCAAUACCGCCACUAUCAUCGUGACUGAGGUCCAGCACCUGGGAUCACAUAUGUCACCGAGGGACUCACAUGGCCUCCAUUCAUCUUGCGAGACUUGGAUCCAGUGAGAGAGCCUUCAGAAUGUUCUUUGCUUGCCUAAAUCACCAGAAAUCAUGGCCUAAAUCAAGGCUUCACCUUUUGCUCUAAUGAUAACAUGCUUUCCGGUUGAGGAGAUCAUUGUCAGUAUCUUGGAAGUUAGCCCUACCAACUCCAUCAGCAAUAAUGUAUAGUAGGUUGUGAGGCAAAUGUAAGUUUACCGGGGGCAGCAUAGUUCAACAAUGUACACUGGAAUGUCAGGAAAUGUGUUUCUGUCCGUGUCUGAAGCCUUCGCAUGAAUGAUGACACUUCUGUUUCAUAAAACAGAGAUACAUAACGGGAAGGUUACAGGCGACAUGUGGAAUGAGGCAGUAGCAAUUCUCAGGAACUAUGGGAAUGUGGACUCUUCCUGUGUGAAAACAAAGCUCUGUUUUCUUGAAAGACUGAUUGUGGCCAUGGCAAUUAGGUUGGAAAGAGAGCCUUGGAAUUUAAAAGGUUGGCAUGUAGCCUUUUUGUCUGUGGAUUUAGAAGUGCAUGCUUUCAAAUGUCCCAGGAUUCAUACCACCUUCAUGGAUGUAUGAAGAACACCCAUUUUAAUCCUAGUUUCUAUGUUUAUUGUUGGGACAUUUUUUGUCAGUCUAUCCGGGUAGUUUGCCAGCAGUUCUUAUGGAUUGACUGUAUCAAAAUGGUCUGGACAUACAUCUCCUCCUCUUCUAGGAUCUAAGAAUGUGAGCAUGCAAGUUUGAAUCUUACACACACUCCUUCUAGGAAUUUUAUAUUUUGGUAUGGCCGUAGAAGAUAGGCAUGGAGUGUCUGCGGGAUUAUCUCUCCUUAUGGUCUUGAUGUGGCCUUGCUGAAGGUUAACUUGGCAUUUUGGCUAUGUGUUUUGGGGCUGAUGGUAGUCCUGUUAUCUUAGACAUUGUUCUUUUCUCCAAGCAAAUAUCAACAAGAAAUUGUGUUUCCAUUUGAUUAUGAAAGUGAGCUGUAUGCUUAGGAUCAUGCUGUUGAUAAUAACAUAUAUCUCAGUGACUACAGGUUAUGCUUGUGUUUGAUGACCUGAGAGGGUUUGAACAGACACUUUCUCCGUGGUGAUCAAUGUCAGAUACCACAGCAAUAGCACUCACAGGAAUUUAGAACCAGUCAAAACCUGAAUAGGAGAUAUAUGAGCAUGGACAGAGAUAGAGAAAGAACAAUUGUUGAAGAGGCUAAGCAUGUGUGAGACAGAGGAAGACAGUGAGAGACAGAAAGAGAGAGCGGGGGGAGUGAGGGGGGGUGAAGUGGAAAAGAGGACACUGUGAUAUUAAAGCAGAUAUCUUGAUUGACAGAAAUAAGGAAACCAAAUAGAGAGAAUGUGAGUGAGAAAGUGAGAAGCUAGGAGAGUCACUGCAAGUCAAUUUCAGAGAGAAAGUGAAGAAGCGAGAUAGAGAAAGAGUACAUAAGAAGUCCAUUCAUCGGGGCUGGGGAUUUAGCUCAGUGGUAGAGCGCUUGCCUAGGAAGCACAAGGCCCUGGGUUCGGUCCCCAGCUCCGGAAAAAAAAAAAAAAAAAAAAGAACCAAAGAAGUCCAUUCAUCUAACGUGGAUGAGAAUCUUAUAUGAUAUUUGAAUCAGAUCUCAUCGAAGGCAGAGUAGGACUAAUAGGUGUAGUAUGUUAUGAUUAUGGAUGGUGCUCCGAUUGUGGCCAAAUCUAUAAGAUUCUGAUGGUUUCCAUGGGAAGAGUAAGGCCUGAUUUUCUCUGUCAUAUCCGGCUGAACUGAGAUAUACUUAUUUUUGUAGACACUUCCAUUAAGCCAUGUUAGUGGUCUCAUUCUGUUGUGUACCUCGUGCCAAUUUCUUUGGAUGGUUCUCAAGUGAUGUACAUACUACUGUAGUUUUCGGGAUCAGAUAUUGGCUUCGUCCCAUCUUAAGAACUUUGUUGCAUGGUAACCUCCAGGAAUUCGGUGAUAGAAUUGGGAAAAUUAUGUCCCCAAGCAGUUCCUUGGAGGAAAAAUAUCUCUGAUAUGGAUUGUGAGGGCAAAUUUCUAGAGGACGGAAGGAGUGCUGAGAGAGCCCAAGUGUUCGAUAAAUUAAGAACUAACAACAAUGCAUCACAGUCUCCAUGAUAUGCAAGGAAUCCAAUAAAGUGGGGGAAUGUGCUAUUUGCUUCAUUUUCAGGGACAGAGUCCCUGUCUCAUACCGGAAAAGGACGGCUUGCAGAGGAACUGAGUAUGGAACAUCAGAUGAAGUUGGAAGAAGCCUAACAUCGCCUGCCCUGAAGUCCUCAGUUGAAGUUCUCUUGCCUGAGGAUACCUGAAGUGAAAGGUAAGAAACACUUGACUUUCCAAAGGAACUCAAAGUGCUCAAGUGUUGAUGGAGCUCGCAGGAGUUCCCAACCAUGAAUCAUGAUCCUUUGGGAUCUGGUUCAGCCUCACUGCCUGUUGCUACUCCUGUGAUUGGAGAAUAGGCCCAUUGGUUCGUGGUAAAGGAUGUGAAUGUCUUGAAUUCUGUUCGCUCACCAAACCUGAUCUAUUUUGAGUAUACUAAGUGUCAUGGCAGGGGGUACACCAGCGUGCUUGGAUCGAUGAUGAUUUCCAAUAAAACAUUCCUUGGAAAGCUGAACAAAAUGAGUGAAAACUCAAUACCGCCACUAUCAUCGUGACUGAGGUCCAGCACCUGGGAUCACAUAUGUCACCGAGGGACUCACAUGGCCUCCAUUCAUCUUGCGAGACUUGGAUCCAGUGAGAGAGCCGUCAGAAUGUUCUUUGCUUGCCUAAAUCACCAGAAAUCAUGGCCUAAAUCAAGGCUUCACCUUUUGCUCUAAUGAUAACAUGCUUUCCGGUUGAGGAGAUCAUUGUCAGUAUCUUGGAAGUUAGCCCUACCAACUCCAUCAGCAAUAAUGUAUAGUAGGUUGUGAGGCAAAUGUAAGUUUAGCGGGGGCAGCAUAGUUCAACAAUGUACACUGGAAUGUCAGGAAAUGUGUUUCUGUCCGUGUCUGAAGCCUUCGCAUGAAUGAUGACACUUCUGUUUCAUAAAACAGAGAUACAUAACGGGAAGGUUACAGGCGACAUGUGGAAUGAGGCAGUAGCAAUUCUCAGGAACUAUGGGAAUGUGGACUCUUCCUGUGUGAAAACAAAGCUCUGUUUUCUUGAAAGACUGAUUGUGGCCAUGGCAAUUAGGUUGGAAAGAGAGCCUUGGAAUUUAAAAGGUUGGCAUGUAGCCUUCUUGUCUGUGGAUUUAGAAGUGCAUGCUUUCAAAUGUCCCAGGAUUCAUACCACCUUCAUGGAUGUAUGGAGAACACCCAUUUUAAUCCUAGUUUCUAUGUUUAUUGUUGGGACAUUUUUUGUCAGUCUAUCCGGGUAGUUUGCCAGCAGUUCUUAUGGAUUGACUGUACCAAAAUGGUCUGGACAUACAUCUCCUCCUCUUCUAGGAUCUAAGAAUGUGGGCAUGCAAGUUUGAAUCUUACACACACUCCUUCUAGGAAUUUUAUAUUUUGGUAUGGCCGUAGAAGAUAGGCAUGGAGUGUCUGCGGGAUUAUCUCUCCUUAUGGUCUUGAUGUGGCCUUGCUGAAGGUUAACUUGGCAUUUUGGCUAUGUGUUUUGGGGCUGAUGGUAGUCCUGUUAUCUUAGACAUUGUUCUUUUCUCCAAGCAAAUAUCAACAAGAAAUUGUGUUUCCAUUUGAUUAUGAAAGUGAGCUGUAUGCUUAGGAUCAUGCUGUUGAUAAUAACAUAUAUCUCAGUGACUACAGGUUAUGCUUGUGUUUGGUGACCUGAGAGGGUUUGAACAGACACUUUCUCUGUGGUGAUCAAUGUCAGAUACCACAGCAAUAGCACUCACAGGAAUUUAGAACCAGUCAAAACCUGAAUAGGAGAUAUAUGAGCAUGGACAGAGACAGAGAGAAAGAACAAUUGUUGAAGAGGCUAAGCAUGUGUGAGACAGAGGAAGACAGUGAGAGACAGAAAGAGAGAGCGGGGGGAGAGAGGGGGGGUGAAGUGGAAAAGAGGACACUGUGAUAUUAAAGCAGAUAUCUUGAUUGACAGAAAUAAGGAAACCAAAUAGGGAGAAUGUGAGUGAGAAACUGAGAAGCUCGGAGAGUCACUGCAAGUCAAUUUCAGAGAGAAAGUGAAGAAGCGAGAUAGAGAAAGAGUACAUAAGAAGUCCAUUGAUCUAACGUGGAUGAGAAUCUUAUAUGAUAUUUGAAUCAGAUCUCAUCGAAGGCAGAGUAGGACUAAUAGGUGUAGUAUGUUAUGAUUAUGGAGGGUGCUCCGAUUGUGGCCAAAUCUAUUAAGAUUCUGAUGGUUUCCAUGGGAAGAGUAAGGCCUGAUUUUCUCUGUCAUAUCCGGCUGAACUGAGAUAUACUUAUUUUUGUAGACAACUUCCAUUAAGCCAUGUUAGUGGUCUCAUUCUGUUGUGUACCUCGUGCCAAUUUCUUUGGAUGGUUCUCAAGUGAUGUACAUACUACUGUAGUUUUCGGGAUCAGAUAUUGGCUUCGUCCCAUCUUAAGAUCUUUGUUGCAUGGUAACCUCCAGGAAUUCGGUGAUAGAAUUGGGAAAAUUAUGUCCCCAAACAGUUCCUUGGAGGAAAAAUAUCUCUGAUAUGGAUUGUGAGGGCAAAUUUCUAGAAGACGGAAGGAGUGCUGAGAGAGCCCAAGUGUUCGAUAAAUUAAGAACUAACAACAAUGCAUCACAGUCUCCAUGAUUUGCAAGGAAUCCAAUAAAGUGGGGGUAUGUGCUAUUUGCUUUACUUUCAGGGACAGAGUCCCUGUCUCAUACCGGAAAAGGACGGCUUGCAGAGGAACUGAGUAUGGAACAUCAGAUGAAGUUGGAAGAAGCCUAACAUCGCCUGCCCUGAAGUCCUCAGUUGAAGCUCUCUUGCCUGAGGAUACCUGAAGUGAAAGGUAAGAAACACUUGACUUUCCAAAGGAACUCAAAGUGCUCAGGUGUUGAUAGAGCUCACAGGAGUUCCCAACCUUGAAUCAUGAUCCUAUGGGACCUGGUUCAGUCUCACUGUCUGUGGCUACUCCUGUGAUUGGAGAAUAGGCCCAUUGGUUCGUGGUAAAGGAUGUGAAUGUCUUGAAUUCUGUUCGCUCACCAAACCUGAUCUAUUUUGAGUAUACUAAGUGUCAUGGCAGGGGGUACACCAGCGUGCUUGGAUCGAUGAUGAUUUCCAAUAAAACAUUCCUUGGAAAGCUGAACAAAAUGAGUGAAAACUCAAUACCGCCACUAUCAUCGUGACUGAGGUCCAGCACCUGGGAUCACAUAUGUCACCGAGGGACUCACAUGGCCUCCAUUCAUCUUGCGAGACUUGGAUCCAGUGAGAGAGCCGUCAGAAUGUUCUUUGCUUGCCUAAAUCACCAGAAAUCAUGGCCUAAAUCAAGGCUUCACCUUUUGCUCUAAUGAUAACAUGCUUUCCGGUUGAGGAGAUCAUUGUCAGUAUCUUGGAAGUUAGCCCUACCAACUCCAUCAGCAAUAAUGUAUAGUAGGUUGUGAGGCAAAUGUAAGUUUAGCGGGGGCAGCAUAGUUCAACAAUGUACACUGGAAUGUCAGGAAAUGUGUUUCUGUCCGUGUCUGAAGCCUUCGCAUGAAUGAUGACACUUCUGUUUCAUAAAACAGAGAUACAUAACGGGAAGGUUACAGGCGACAUGUGGAAUGAGGCAGUAGCAAUUCUCAGGAACUAUGGGAAUGUGGACUCUUCCUGUGUGAAAACAAAGCUCUGUUUUCUUGAAAGACUGAUUGUGGCCAUGGCAAUUAGGUUGGAAAGAGAGCCUUGGAAUUUAAAAGGUUGGCAUGUAGCCUUCUUGUCUGUGGAUUUAGAAGUGCAUGCUUUCAAAUGUCCCAGGAUUCAUACCACCUUCAUGGAUGUAUGGAGAACACCCAUUUUAAUCCUAGUUUCUAUGUUUAUUGUUGGGACAUUUUUUGUCAGUCUAUCCGGGUAGUUUGCCAGCAGUUCUUAUGGAUUGACUGUACCAAAAUGGUCUGGACAUACAUCUCCUCCUCUUCUAGGAUCUAAGAAUGUGGGCAUGCAAGUUUGAAUCUUACACACACUCCUUCUAGGAAUUUUAUAUUUUGGUAUGGCCGUAGAAGAUAGGCAUGGAGUGUCUGCGGGAUUAUCUCUCCUUAUGGUCUUGAUGUGGCCUUGCUGAAGGUUAACUUGGCAUUUUGGCUAUGUGUUUUGGGGCUGAUGGUAGUCCUGUUAUCUUAGACAUUGUUCUUUUCUCCAAGCAAAUAUCAACAAGAAAUUGUGUUUCCAUUUGAUUAUGAAAGUGAGCUGUAUGCUUAGGAUCAUGCUGUUGAUAAUAACAUAUAUCUCAGUGACUACAGGUUAUGCUUGUGUUUGGUGACCUGAGAGGGUUUGAACAGACACUUUCUCUGUGGUGAUCAAUGUCAGAUACCACAGCAAUAGCACUCACAGGAAUUUAGAACCAGUCAAAACCUGAAUAGGAGAUAUAUGAGCAUGGACAGAGACAGAGAGAAAGAACAAUUGUUGAAGAGGCUAAGCAUGUGUGAGACAGAGGAAGACAGUGAGAGACAGAAAGAGAGAGCGGGGGGAGAGAGGGGGGGUGAAGUGGAAAAGAGGACACUGUGAUAUUAAAGCAGAUAUCUUGAUUGACAGAAAUAAGGAAACCAAAUAGGGAGAAUGUGAGUGAGAAACUGAGAAGCUCGGAGAGUCACUGCAAGUCAAUUUCAGAGAGAAAGUGAAGAAGCGAGAUAGAGAAAGAGUACAUAAGAAGUCCAUUCAUCUAACGUGGAUGAGAAUCUUAUAUGAUAUUUGAAUCAGAUCUCAUCGAAGGCAGAGUAGGACUAAUAGGUGUAGUAUGUUAUGAUUAUGGAGGGUGCUCCGAUUGUGGCCAAAUCUAUUAAGAUUCUGAUGGUUUCCAUGGGAAGAGUAAGGCCUGAUUUUCUCUGUCAUAUCCGGCUGAACUGAGAUAUACUUAUUUUUGUAGACAACUUCCAUUAAGCCAUGUUAGUGGUCUCAUUCUGUUGUGUACCUCGUGCCAAUUUCUUUGGAUGGUUCUCAAGUGAUGUACAUACUACUGUAGUUUUCGGGAUCAGAUAUUGGCUUCGUCCCAUCUUAAGAUCUUUGUUGCAUGGUAACCUCCAGGAAUUCGGUGAUAGAAUUGGGAAAAUUAUGUCCCCAAACAGUUCCUUGGAGGAAAAAUAUCUCUGAUAUGGAUUGUGAGGGCAAAUUUCUAGAAGACGGAAGGAGUGCUGAGAGAGCCCAAGUGUUCGAUAAAUUAAGAACUAACAACAAUGCAUCACAGUCUCCAUGAUUUGCAAGGAAUCCAAUAAAGUGGGGGUAUGUGCUAUUUGCUUUACUUUCAGGGACAGAGUCCCUGUCUCAUACCGGAAAAGGACGGCUUGCAGAGGAACUGAGUAUGGAACAUCAGAUGAAGUUGGAAGAAGCCUAACAUCGCCUGCCCUGAAGUCCUCAGUUGAAGCUCUCUUGCCUGAGGAUACCUGAAGUGAAAGGUAAGAAACACUUGACUUUCCAAAGGAACUCAAAGUGCUCAGGUGUUGAUAGAGCUCACAGGAGUUCCCAACCUUGAAUCAUGAUCCUAUGGGACCUGGUUCAGUCUCACUGUCUGUGGCUACUCCUGUGAUUGGAGAAUAGGCCCAUUGGUUCGUGGUAAAGGAUGUGAAUGUCUUGAAUUCUGUUCGCUCACCAAACCUGAUCUAUUUUGAGUAUACUAAGUGUCAUGGCAGGGGGUACACCAGCGUGCUUGGAUCGAUGAUGAUUUCCAAUAAAACAUUCCUUGGAAAGCUGAACAAAAUGAGUGAAAACUCAAUACCGCCACUAUCAUCGUGACUGAGGUCCAGCACCUGGGAUCACAUAUGUCACCGAGGGACUCACAUGGCCUCCAUUCAUCUUGCGAGACUUGGAUCCAGUGAGAGAGCCUUCAGAAUGUUCUUUGCUUGCCUAAAUCACCAGAAAUCAUGGCCUAAAUCAAGGCUUCACCUUUUGCUCUAAUGAUAACAUGCUUUCCGGUUGAGGAGAUCAUUGUCAGUAUCUUGGAAGUUAGCCCUACCAACUCCAUCAGCAAUAAUGUAUAGUAGGUUGUGAGGCAAAUGUAAGUUUACCGGGGGCAGCAUAGUUCAACAAUGUACACUGGAAUGUCAGGAAAUGUGUUUCUGUCCGUGUCUGAAGCCUUCGCAUGAAUGAUGACACUUCUGUUUCAUAAAACAGAGAUACAUAACGGGAAGGUUACAGGCGACAUGUGGAAUGAGGCAGUAGCAAUUCUCAGGAACUAUGGGAAUGUGGACUCUUCCUGUGUGAAAACAAAGCUCUGUUUUCUUGAAAGACUGAUUGUGGCCAUGGCAAUUAGGUUGGAAAGAGAGCCUUGGAAUUUAAAAGGUUGGCAUGUAGCCUUUUUGUCUGUGGAUUUAGAAGUGCAUGCUUUCAAAUGUCCCAGGAUUCAUACCACCUUCAUGGAUGUAUGAAGAACACCCAUUUUAAUCCUAGUUUCUAUGUUUAUUGUUGGGACAUUUUUUGUCAGUCUAUCCGGGUAGUUUGCCAGCAGUUCUUAUGGAUUGACUGUAUCAAAAUGGUCUGGACAUACAUCUCCUCCUCUUCUAGGAUCUAAGAAUGUGAGCAUGCAAGUUUGAAUCUUACACACACUCCUUCUAGGAAUUUUAUAUUUUGGUAUGGCCGUAGAAGAUAGGCAUGGAGUGUCUGCGGGAUUAUCUCUCCUUAUGGUCUUGAUGUGGCCUUGCUGAAGGUUAACUUGGCAUUUUGGCUAUGUGUUUUGGGGCUGAUGGUAGUCCUGUUAUCUUAGACAUUGUUCUUUUCUCCAAGCAAAUAUCAACAAGAAAUUGUGUUUCCAUUUGAUUAUGAAAGUGAGCUGUAUGCUUAGGAUCAUGCUGUUGAUAAUAACAUAUAUCUCAGUGACUACAGGUUAUGCUUGUGUUUGAUGACCUGAGAGGGUUUGAACAGACACUUUCUCCGUGGUGAUCAAUGUCAGAUACCACAGCAAUAGCACUCACAGGAAUUUAGAACCAGUCAAAACCUGAAUAGGAGAUAUAUGAGCAUGGACAGAGAUAGAGAAAGAACAAUUGUUGAAGAGGCUAAGCAUGUGUGAGACAGAGGAAGACAGUGAGAGACAGAAAGAGAGAGCGGGGGGAGUGAGGGGGGGUGAAGUGGAAAAGAGGACACUGUGAUAUUAAAGCAGAUAUCUUGAUUGACAGAAAUAAGGAAACCAAAUAGAGAGAAUGUGAGUGAGAAAGUGAGAAGCUAGGAGAGUCACUGCAAGUCAAUUUCAGAGAGAAAGUGAAGAAGCGAGAUAGAGAAAGAGUACAUAAGAAGUCCAUUCAUCGGGGCUGGGGAUUUAGCUCAGUGGUAGAGCGCUUGCCUAGGAAGCACAAGGCCCUGGGUUCGGUCCCCAGCUCCGGAAAAAAAAAAAAAAAAAAAAGAACCAAAGAAGUCCAUUCAUCUAACGUGGAUGAGAAUCUUAUAUGAUAUUUGAAUCAGAUCUCAUCGAAGGCAGAGUAGGACUAAUAGGUGUAGUAUGUUAUGAUUAUGGAUGGUGCUCCGAUUGUGGCCAAAUCUAUAAGAUUCUGAUGGUUUCCAUGGGAAGAGUAAGGCCUGAUUUUCUCUGUCAUAUCCGGCUGAACUGAGAUAUACUUAUUUUUGUAGACACUUCCAUUAAGCCAUGUUAGUGGUCUCAUUCUGUUGUGUACCUCGUGCCAAUUUCUUUGGAUGGUUCUCAAGUGAUGUACAUACUACUGUAGUUUUCGGGAUCAGAUAUUGGCUUCGUCCCAUCUUAAGAACUUUGUUGCAUGGUAACCUCCAGGAAUUCGGUGAUAGAAUUGGGAAAAUUAUGUCCCCAAACAGUUCCUUGGAGGAAAAAUAUCUCUGAUAUGGAUUGUGAGGGCAAAUUUCUAGAGGACGGAAGGAGUGCUGAGAGAGCCCAAGUGUUCGAUAAAUUAAGAACUAACAACAAUGCAUCACAGUCUCCAUGAUAUGCAAGGAAUCCAAUAAAGUGGGGGAAUGUGCUAUUUGCUUCAUUUUCAGGGACAGAGUCCCUGUCUCAUACCGGAAAAGGACGGCUUGCAGAGGAACUGAGUAUGGAACAUCAGAUGAAGUUGGAAGAAGCCUAACAUCGCCUGCCCUGAAGUCCUCAGUUGAAGUUCUCUUGCCUGAGGAUACCUGAAGUGAAAGGUAAGAAACACUUGACUUUCCAAAGGAACUCAAAGUGCUCAAGUGUUGAUGGAGCUCGCAGGAGUUCCCAACCAUGAAUCAUGAUCCUUUGGGAUCUGGUUCAGCCUCACUGCCUGUUGCUACUCCUGUGAUUGGAGAAUAGGCCCAUUGGUUCGUGGUAAAGGAUGUGAAUGUCUUGAAUUCUGUUCGCUCACCAAACCUGAUCUAUUUUGAGUAUACUAAGUGUCAUGGCAGGGGGUACACCAGCGUGCUUGGAUCGAUGAUGAUUUCCAAUAAAACAUUCCUUGGAAAGCUGAACAAAAUGAGUGAAAACUCAAUACCGCCACUAUCAUCGUGACUGAGGUCCAGCACCUGGGAUCACAUAUGUCACCGAGGGACUCACAUGGCCUCCAUUCAUCUUGCGAGACUUGGAUCCAGUGAGAGAGCCGUCAGAAUGUUCUUUGCUUGCCUAAAUCACCAGAAAUCAUGGCCUAAAUCAAGGCUUCACCUUUUGCUCUAAUGAUAACAUGCUUUCCGGUUGAGGAGAUCAUUGUCAGUAUCUUGGAAGUUAGCCCUACCAACUCCAUCAGCAAUAAUGUAUAGUAGGUUGUGAGGCAAAUGUAAGUUUAGCGGGGGCAGCAUAGUUCAACAAUGUACACUGGAAUGUCAGGAAAUGUGUUUCUGUCCGUGUCUGAAGCCUUCGCAUGAAUGAUGACACUUCUGUUUCAUAAAACAGAGAUACAUAACGGGAAGGUUACAGGCGACAUGUGGAAUGAGGCAGUAGCAAUUCUCAGGAACUAUGGGAAUGUGGACUCUUCCUGUGUGAAAACAAAGCUCUGUUUUCUUGAAAGACUGAUUGUGGCCAUGGCAAUUAGGUUGGAAAGAGAGCCUUGGAAUUUAAAAGGUUGGCAUGUAGCCUUCUUGUCUGUGGAUUUAGAAGUGCAUGCUUUCAAAUGUCCCAGGAUUCAUACCACCUUCAUGGAUGUAUGGAGAACACCCAUUUUAAUCCUAGUUUCUAUGUUUAUUGUUGGGACAUUUUUUGUCAGUCUAUCCGGGUAGUUUGCCAGCAGUUCUUAUGGAUUGACUGUACCAAAAUGGUCUGGACAUACAUCUCCUCCUCUUCUAGGAUCUAAGAAUGUGGGCAUGCAAGUUUGAAUCUUACACACACUCCUUCUAGGAAUUUUAUAUUUUGGUAUGGCCGUAGAAGAUAGGCAUGGAGUGUCUGCGGGAUUAUCUCUCCUUAUGGUCUUGAUGUGGCCUUGCUGAAGGUUAACUUGGCAUUUUGGCUAUGUGUUUUGGGGCUGAUGGUAGUCCUGUUAUCUUAGACAUUGUUCUUUUCUCCAAGCAAAUAUCAACAAGAAAUUGUGUUUCCAUUUGAUUAUGAAAGUGAGCUGUAUGCUUAGGAUCAUGCUGUUGAUAAUAACAUAUAUCUCAGUGACUACAGGUUAUGCUUGUGUUUGGUGACCUGAGAGGGUUUGAACAGACACUUUCUCUGUGGUGAUCAAUGUCAGAUACCACAGCAAUAGCACUCACAGGAAUUUAGAACCAGUCAAAACCUGAAUAGGAGAUAUAUGAGCAUGGACAGAGACAGAGAGAAAGAACAAUUGUUGAAGAGGCUAAGCAUGUGUGAGACAGAGGAAGACAGUGAGAGACAGAAAGAGAGAGCGGGGGGAGAGAGGGGGGGUGAAGUGGAAAAGAGGACACUGUGAUAUUAAAGCAGAUAUCUUGAUUGACAGAAAUAAGGAAACCAAAUAGGGAGAAUGUGAGUGAGAAACUGAGAAGCUCGGAGAGUCACUGCAAGUCAAUUUCAGAGAGAAAGUGAAGAAGCGAGAUAGAGAAAGAGUACAUAAGAAGUCCAUUGAUCUAACGUGGAUGAGAAUCUUAUAUGAUAUUUGAAUCAGAUCUCAUCGAAGGCAGAGUAGGACUAAUAGGUGUAGUAUGUUAUGAUUAUGGAGGGUGCUCCGAUUGUGGCCAAAUCUAUUAAGAUUCUGAUGGUUUCCAUGGGAAGAGUAAGGCCUGAUUUUCUCUGUCAUAUCCGGCUGAACUGAGAUAUACUUAUUUUUGUAGACAACUUCCAUUAAGCCAUGUUAGUGGUCUCAUUCUGUUGUGUACCUCGUGCCAAUUUCUUUGGAUGGUUCUCAAGUGAUGUACAUACUACUGUAGUUUUCGGGAUCAGAUAUUGGCUUCGUCCCAUCUUAAGAUCUUUGUUGCAUGGUAACCUCCAGGAAUUCGGUGAUAGAAUUGGGAAAAUUAUGUCCCCAAACAGUUCCUUGGAGGAAAAAUAUCUCUGAUAUGGAUUGUGAGGGCAAAUUUCUAGAAGACGGAAGGAGUGCUGAGAGAGCCCAAGUGUUCGAUAAAUUAAGAACUAACAACAAUGCAUCACAGUCUCCAUGAUUUGCAAGGAAUCCAAUAAAGUGGGGGUAUGUGCUAUUUGCUUUACUUUCAGGGACAGAGUCCCUGUCUCAUACCGGAAAAGGACGGCUUGCAGAGGAACUGAGUAUGGAACAUCAGAUGAAGUUGGAAGAAGCCUAACAUCGCCUGCCCUGAAGUCCUCAGUUGAAGCUCUCUUGCCUGAGGAUACCUGAAGUGAAAGGUAAGAAACACUUGACUUUCCAAAGGAACUCAAAGUGCUCAGGUGUUGAUAGAGCUCACAGGAGUUCCCAACCUUGAAUCAUGAUCCUAUGGGACCUGGUUCAGUCUCACUGUCUGUGGCUACUCCUGUGAUUGGAGAAUAGGCCCAUUGGUUCGUGGUAAAGGAUGUGAAUGUCUUGAAUUCUGUUCGCUCACCAAACCUGAUCUAUUUUGAGUAUACUAAGUGUCAUGGCAGGGGGUACACCAGCGUGCUUGGAUCGAUGAUGAUUUCCAAUAAAACAUUCCUUGGAAAGCUGAACAAAAUGAGUGAAAACUCAAUACCGCCACUAUCAUCGUGACUGAGGUCCAGCACCUGGGAUCACAUAUGUCACCGAGGGACUCACAUGGCCUCCAUUCAUCUUGCGAGACUUGGAUCCAGUGAGAGAGCCGUCAGAAUGUUCUUUGCUUGCCUAAAUCACCAGAAAUCAUGGCCUAAAUCAAGGCUUCACCUUUUGCUCUAAUGAUAACAUGCUUUCCGGUUGAGGAGAUCAUUGUCAGUAUCUUGGAAGUUAGCCCUACCAACUCCAUCAGCAAUAAUGUAUAGUAGGUUGUGAGGCAAAUGUAAGUUUAGCGGGGGCAGCAUAGUUCAACAAUGUACACUGGAAUGUCAGGAAAUGUGUUUCUGUCCGUGUCUGAAGCCUUCGCAUGAAUGAUGACACUUCUGUUUCAUAAAACAGAGAUACAUAACGGGAAGGUUACAGGCGACAUGUGGAAUGAGGCAGUAGCAAUUCUCAGGAACUAUGGGAAUGUGGACUCUUCCUGUGUGAAAACAAAGCUCUGUUUUCUUGAAAGACUGAUUGUGGCCAUGGCAAUUAGGUUGGAAAGAGAGCCUUGGAAUUUAAAAGGUUGGCAUGUAGCCUUCUUGUCUGUGGAUUUAGAAGUGCAUGCUUUCAAAUGUCCCAGGAUUCAUACCACCUUCAUGGAUGUAUGGAGAACACCCAUUUUAAUCCUAGUUUCUAUGUUUAUUGUUGGGACAUUUUUUGUCAGUCUAUCCGGGUAGUUUGCCAGCAGUUCUUAUGGAUUGACUGUACCAAAAUGGUCUGGACAUACAUCUCCUCCUCUUCUAGGAUCUAAGAAUGUGGGCAUGCAAGUUUGAAUCUUACACACACUCCUUCUAGGAAUUUUAUAUUUUGGUAUGGCCGUAGAAGAUAGGCAUGGAGUGUCUGCGGGAUUAUCUCUCCUUAUGGUCUUGAUGUGGCCUUGCUGAAGGUUAACUUGGCAUUUUGGCUAUGUGUUUUGGGGCUGAUGGUAGUCCUGUUAUCUUAGACAUUGUUCUUUUCUCCAAGCAAAUAUCAACAAGAAAUUGUGUUUCCAUUUGAUUAUGAAAGUGAGCUGUAUGCUUAGGAUCAUGCUGUUGAUAAUAACAUAUAUCUCAGUGACUACAGGUUAUGCUUGUGUUUGGUGACCUGAGAGGGUUUGAACAGACACUUUCUCUGUGGUGAUCAAUGUCAGAUACCACAGCAAUAGCACUCACAGGAAUUUAGAACCAGUCAAAACCUGAAUAGGAGAUAUAUGAGCAUGGACAGAGACAGAGAGAAAGAACAAUUGUUGAAGAGGCUAAGCAUGUGUGAGACAGAGGAAGACAGUGAGAGACAGAAAGAGAGAGCGGGGGGAGAGAGGGGGGGUGAAGUGGAAAAGAGGACACUGUGAUAUUAAAGCAGAUAUCUUGAUUGACAGAAAUAAGGAAACCAAAUAGGGAGAAUGUGAGUGAGAAACUGAGAAGCUCGGAGAGUCACUGCAAGUCAAUUUCAGAGAGAAAGUGAAGAAGCGAGAUAGAGAAAGAGUACAUAAGAAGUCCAUUCAUCUAACGUGGAUGAGAAUCUUAUAUGAUAUUUGAAUCAGAUCUCAUCGAAGGCAGAGUAGGACUAAUAGGUGUAGUAUGUUAUGAUUAUGGAGGGUGCUCCGAUUGUGGCCAAAUCUAUUAAGAUUCUGAUGGUUUCCAUGGGAAGAGUAAGGCCUGAUUUUCUCUGUCAUAUCCGGCUGAACUGAGAUAUACUUAUUUUUGUAGACAACUUCCAUUAAGCCAUGUUAGUGGUCUCAUUCUGUUGUGUACCUCGUGCCAAUUUCUUUGGAUGGUUCUCAAGUGAUGUACAUACUACUGUAGUUUUCGGGAUCAGAUAUUGGCUUCGUCCCAUCUUAAGAUCUUUGUUGCAUGGUAACCUCCAGGAAUUCGGUGAUAGAAUUGGGAAAAUUAUGUCCCCAAACAGUUCCUUGGAGGAAAAAUAUCUCUGAUAUGGAUUGUGAGGGCAAAUUUCUAGAAGACGGAAGGAGUGCUGAGAGAGCCCAAGUGUUCGAUAAAUUAAGAACUAACAACAAUGCAUCACAGUCUCCAUGAUUUGCAAGGAAUCCAAUAAAGUGGGGGUAUGUGCUAUUUGCUUUACUUUCAGGGACAGAGUCCCUGUCUCAUACCGGAAAAGGACGGCUUGCAGAGGAACUGAGUAUGGAACAUCAGAUGAAGUUGGAAGAAGCCUAACAUCGCCUGCCCUGAAGUCCUCAGUUGAAGCUCUCUUGCCUGAGGAUACCUGAAGUGAAAGGUAAGAAACACUUGACUUUCCAAAGGAACUCAAAGUGCUCAGGUGUUGAUAGAGCUCACAGGAGUUCCCAACCUUGAAUCAUGAUCCUAUGGGACCUGGUUCAGUCUCACUGUCUGUGGCUACUCCUGUGAUUGGAGAAUAGGCCCAUUGGUUCGUGGUAAAGGAUGUGAAUGUCUUGAAUUCUGUUCGCUCACCAAACCUGAUCUAUUUUGAGUAUACUAAGUGUCAUGGCAGGGGGUACACCAGCGUGCUUGGAUCGAUGAUGAUUUCCAAUAAAACAUUCCUUGGAAAGCUGAACAAAAUGAGUGAAAACUCAAUACCGCCACUAUCAUCGUGACUGAGGUCCAGCACCUGGGAUCACAUAUGUCACCGAGGGACUCACAUGGCCUCCAUUCAUCUUGCGAGACUUGGAUCCAGUGAGAGAGCCUUCAGAAUGUUCUUUGCUUGCCUAAAUCACCAGAAAUCAUGGCCUAAAUCAAGGCUUCACCUUUUGCUCUAAUGAUAACAUGCUUUCCGGUUGAGGAGAUCAUUGUCAGUAUCUUGGAAGUUAGCCCUACCAACUCCAUCAGCAAUAAUGUAUAGUAGGUUGUGAGGCAAAUGUAAGUUUACCGGGGGCAGCAUAGUUCAACAAUGUACACUGGAAUGUCAGGAAAUGUGUUUCUGUCCGUGUCUGAAGCCUUCGCAUGAAUGAUGACACUUCUGUUUCAUAAAACAGAGAUACAUAACGGGAAGGUUACAGGCGACAUGUGGAAUGAGGCAGUAGCAAUUCUCAGGAACUAUGGGAAUGUGGACUCUUCCUGUGUGAAAACAAAGCUCUGUUUUCUUGAAAGACUGAUUGUGGCCAUGGCAAUUAGGUUGGAAAGAGAGCCUUGGAAUUUAAAAGGUUGGCAUGUAGCCUUUUUGUCUGUGGAUUUAGAAGUGCAUGCUUUCAAAUGUCCCAGGAUUCAUACCACCUUCAUGGAUGUAUGAAGAACACCCAUUUUAAUCCUAGUUUCUAUGUUUAUUGUUGGGACAUUUUUUGUCAGUCUAUCCGGGUAGUUUGCCAGCAGUUCUUAUGGAUUGACUGUAUCAAAAUGGUCUGGACAUACAUCUCCUCCUCUUCUAGGAUCUAAGAAUGUGAGCAUGCAAGUUUGAAUCUUACACACACUCCUUCUAGGAAUUUUAUAUUUUGGUAUGGCCGUAGAAGAUAGGCAUGGAGUGUCUGCGGGAUUAUCUCUCCUUAUGGUCUUGAUGUGGCCUUGCUGAAGGUUAACUUGGCAUUUUGGCUAUGUGUUUUGGGGCUGAUGGUAGUCCUGUUAUCUUAGACAUUGUUCUUUUCUCCAAGCAAAUAUCAACAAGAAAUUGUGUUUCCAUUUGAUUAUGAAAGUGAGCUGUAUGCUUAGGAUCAUGCUGUUGAUAAUAACAUAUAUCUCAGUGACUACAGGUUAUGCUUGUGUUUGAUGACCUGAGAGGGUUUGAACAGACACUUUCUCCGUGGUGAUCAAUGUCAGAUACCACAGCAAUAGCACUCACAGGAAUUUAGAACCAGUCAAAACCUGAAUAGGAGAUAUAUGAGCAUGGACAGAGAUAGAGAAAGAACAAUUGUUGAAGAGGCUAAGCAUGUGUGAGACAGAGGAAGACAGUGAGAGACAGAAAGAGAGAGCGGGGGGAGUGAGGGGGGGUGAAGUGGAAAAGAGGACACUGUGAUAUUAAAGCAGAUAUCUUGAUUGACAGAAAUAAGGAAACCAAAUAGAGAGAAUGUGAGUGAGAAAGUGAGAAGCUAGGAGAGUCACUGCAAGUCAAUUUCAGAGAGAAAGUGAAGAAGCGAGAUAGAGAAAGAGUACAUAAGAAGUCCAUUCAUCGGGGCUGGGGAUUUAGCUCAGUGGUAGAGCGCUUGCCUAGGAAGCACAAGGCCCUGGGUUCGGUCCCCAGCUCCGGAAAAAAAAAAAAAAAAAAAAAAAAAAAAAAAAAAAAAAAGAACCAAAGAAGUCCAUUCAUCUAACGUGGAUGAGAAUCUUAUAUGAUAUUUGAAUCAGAUCUCAUCGAAGGCAGAGUAGGACUAAUAGGUGUAGUAUGUUAUGAUUAUGGAUGGUGCUCCGAUUGUGGCCAAAUCUAUAAGAUUCUGAUGGUUUCCAUGGGAAGAGUAAGGCCUGAUUUUCUCUGUCAUAUCCGGCUGAACUGAGAUAUACUUAUUUUUGUAGACACUUCCAUUAAGCCAUGUUAGUGGUCUCAUUCUGUUGUGUACCUCGUGCCAAUUUCUUUGGAUGGUUCUCAAGUGAUGUACAUACUACUGUAGUUUUCGGGAUCAGAUAUUGGCUUCGUCCCAUCUUAAGAACUUUGUUGCAUGGUAACCUCCAGGAAUUCGGUGAUAGAAUUGGGAAAAUUAUGUCCCCAAACAGUUCCUUGGAGGAAAAAUAUCUCUGAUAUGGAUUGUGAGGGCAAAUUUCUAGAGGACGGAAGGAGUGCUGAGAGAGCCCAAGUGUUCGAUAAAUUAAGAACUAACAACAAUGCAUCACAGUCUCCAUGAUAUGCAAGGAAUCCAAUAAAGUGGGGGAAUGUGCUAUUUGCUUCAUUUUCAGGGACAGAGUCCCUGUCUCAUACCGGAAAAGGACGGCUUGCAGAGGAACUGAGUAUGGAACAUCAGAUGAAGUUGGAAGAAGCCUAACAUCGCCUGCCCUGAAGUCCUCAGUUGAAGUUCUCUUGCCUGAGGAUACCUGAAGUGAAAGGUAAGAAACACUUGACUUUCCAAAGGAACUCAAAGUGCUCAAGUGUUGAUGGAGCUCGCAGGAGUUCCCAACCAUGAAUCAUGAUCCUUUGGGAUCUGGUUCAGCCUCACUGCCUGUUGCUACUCCUGUGAUUGGAGAAUAGGCCCAUUGGUUCGUGGUAAAGGAUGUGAAUGUCUUGAAUUCUGUUCGCUCACCAAACCUGAUCUAUUUUGAGUAUACUAAGUGUCAUGGCAGGGGGUACACCAGUGUGCUUGGAUCGAUGAUGAUUUCCAAUAAAACAUUCCUUGGAAAGCUGAACAAAAUGAGUGAAAACUCAAUACCGCCACUAUCAUCGUGACUGAGGUCCAGCACCUGGGAUCACAUAUGUCACCGAGGGACUCACAUGGCCUCCAUUCAUCUUGCGAGACUUGGAUCCAGUGAGAGAGCCGUCAGAAUGUUCUUUGCUUGCCUAAAUCACCAGAAAUCAUGGCCUAAAUCAAGGCUUCACCUUUUGCUCUAAUGAUAACAUGCUUUCCGGUUGAGGAGAUCAUUGUCAGUAUCUUGGAAGUUAGCCCUACCAACUCCAUCAGCAAUAAUGUAUAGUAGGUUGUGAGGCAAAUGUAAGUUUAGCGGGGGCAGCAUAGUUCAACAAUGUACACUGGAAUGUCAGGAAAUGUGUUUCUGUCCGUGUCUGAAGCCUUCGCAUGAAUGAUGACACUUCUGUUUCAUAAAACAGAGAUACAUAACGGGAAGGUUACAGGAGACAUGUGGAAUGAGGCAGUAGCAAUUCUCAGGAACUAUGGGAAUGUGGACUCUUCCUGUGUGAAAACAAAGCUCUGUUUUCUUGAAAGACUGAUUGUGGCCAUGGCAAUUAGGUUGGAAAGAGAGCCUUGGAAUUUAAAAGGUUGGCAUGUAGCCUUCUUGUCUGUGGAUUUAGAAGUGCAUGCUUUCAAAUGUCCCAGGAUUCAUACCACCUUCAUGGAUGUAUGGAGAACACCCAUUUUAAUCCUAGUUUCUAUGUUUAUUGUUGGGACAUUUUUUGUCAGUCUAUCCGGGUAGUUUGCCAGCAGUUCUUAUGGAUUGACUGUACCAAAAUGGUCUGGACAUACAUCUCCUCCUCUUCUAGGAUCUAAGAAUGUGGGCAUGCAAGUUUGAAUCUUACACACACUCCUUCUAGGAAUUUUAUAUUUUGGUAUGGCCGUAGAAGAUAGGCAUGGAGUGUCUGCGGGAUUAUCUCUCCUUAUGGUCUUGAUGUGGCCUUGCUGAAGGUUAACUUGGCAUUUUGGCUAUGUGUUUUGGGGCUGAUGGUAGUCCUGUUAUCUUAGACAUUGUUCUUUUCUCCAAGCAAAUAUCAACAAGAAAUUGUGUUUCCAUUUGAUUAUGAAAGUGAGCUGUAUGCUUAGGAUCAUGCUGUUGAUAAUAACAUAUAUCUCAGUGACUACAGGUUAUGCUUGUAUUUGGUGACCUGAGAGGGUUUGAACAGACACUUUCUCUGUGGUGAUCAAUGUCAGAUACCACAGCAAUAGCACUCACGGGAAUUUAGAACCAGUCAAAACCUGAAUAGGAGAUAUAUGAGCAUGGACAGAGACAGAGAGAAAGAACAAUUGUUGAAGAGGCUAAGCAUGUGUGAGACAGAGGAAGACAGUGAGAGACAGAAAGAGAUAGCGGGGGGAGAGAGGGGGGGUGAAGUGGAAAAGAGGACACUGUGAUAUUAAAGCAGAUAUCUUGAUUGACAGAAAUAAGGAAACCAAAUAGGGAGAAUGUGAGUGAGAAACUGAGAAGCUCGGAGAGUCACUGCAAGUCAAUUUCAGAGAGAAAGUGAAGAAGCGAGAUAGAGAAAGAGUACAUAAGAAGUCCAUUCAUCUAACGUGGAUGAGAAUCUUAUAUGAUAUUUGAAUCAGAUCUCAUCGAAGGCAGAGUAGGACUAAUAGGUGUAGUAUGUUAUGAUUAUGGAGGGUGCUCCGAUUGUGGCCAAAUCUAUUAAGAUUCUGAUGGUUUCCAUGGGAAGAGUAAGGCCUGAUUUUCUCUGUCAUAUCCGGCUGAACUGAGAUAUACUUAUUUUUGUAGACAACUUCCAUUAAGCCAUGUUAGUGGUCUCAUUCUGUUGUGUACCUCGUGCCAAUUUCUUUGGAUGGUUCUCAAGUGAUGUACAUACUACUGUAGUUUUCGGGAUCAGAUAUUGGCUUCGUCCCAUCUUAAGAUCUUUGUUGCAUGGUAACCUCCAGGAAUUCGGUGAUAGAAUUGGGAAAAUUAUGUCCCCAAACAGUUCCUUGGAGGAAAAAUAUCUCUGAUAUGGAUUGUGAGGGCAAAUUUCUAGAAGACGGAAGGAGUGCUGAGAGAGCCCAAGUGUUCGAUAAAUUAAGAACUAACAACAAUGCAUCACAGUCUCCAUGAUUUGCAAGGAAUCCAAUAAAGUGGGGGUAUGUGCUAUUUGCUUUACUUUCAGGGACAGAGUCCCUGUCUCAUACCGGAAAAGGACGGCUUGCAGAGGAACUGAGUAUGGAACAUCAGAUGAAGUUGGAAGAAGCCUAACAUCGCCUGCCCUGAAGUCCUCAGUUGAAGCUCUCUUGCCUGAGGAUACCUGAAGUGAAAGGUAAGAAACACUUGACUUUCCAAAGGAACUCAAAGUGCUCAGGUGUUGAUAUUGCUCACAGGAGUUCCCAACCUUGAAUCAUGAUCCUAUGGGACCUGGUUCAGUCUCACUGUCUGUGGCUACUCCUGUGAUUGGAGAAUAGGCCCAUUGGUUCGUGGUAAAGGAUGUGAAUGUCUUGAAUUCUGUUCGCUCACCAAACCUGAUCUAUUUUGAGUAUACUAAGUGUCAUGGCAGGGGGUACACCAGCGUGCUUGGAUCGAUGAUGAUUUCCAAUAAAACAUUCCUUGGAAAGCUGAACAAAAUGAGUGAAAACUCAAUACCGCCACUAUCAUCGUGACUGAGGUCCAGCACCUGGGAUCACAUAUGUCACCGAGGGACUCACAUGGCCUCCAUUCAUCUUGCGAGACUUGGAUCCAGUGAGAGAGCCUUCAGAAUGUUCUUUGCUUGCCUAAAUCACCAGAAAUCAUGGCCUAAAUCAAGGCUUCACCUUUUGCUCUAAUGAUAACAUGCUUUCCGGUUGAGGAGAUCAUUGUCAGUAUCUUGGAAGUUAGCCCUACCAACUCCAUCAGCAAUAAUGUAUAGUAGGUUGUGAGGCAAAUGUAAGUUUACCGGGGGCAGCAUAGUUCAACAAUGUACACUGGAAUGUCAGGAAAUGUGUUUCUGUCCGUGUCUGAAGCCUUCGCAUGAAUGAUGACACUUCUGUUUCAUAAAACAGAGAUACAUAACGGGAAGGUUACAGGCGACAUGUGGAAUGAGGCAGUAGCAAUUCUCAGGAACUAUGGGAAUGUGGACUCUUCCUGUGUGAAAACAAAGCUCUGUUUUCUUGAAAGACUGAUUGUGGCCAUGGCAAUUAGGUUGGAAAGAGAGCCUUGGAAUUUAAAAGGUUGGCAUGUAGCCUUUUUGUCUGUGGAUUUAGAAGUGCAUGCUUUCAAAUGUCCCAGGAUUCAUACCACCUUCAUGGAUGUAUGGAGAACACCCAUUUUAAUCCUAGUUUCUAUGUUUAUUGUUGGGACAUUUUUUGUCAGUCUAUCCGGGUAGUUUGCCAGCAGUUCUUAUGGAUUGACUGUAUCAAAAUGGUCUGGACAUACAUCUCCUCCUCUUCUAGGAUCUAAGAAUGUGAGCAUGCAAGUUUGAAUCUUACACACACUCCUUCUAGGAAUUUUAUAUUUUGGUAUGGCCGUAGAAGAUAGGCAUGGAGUGUCUGCGGGAUUAUCUCUCCUUAUGGUCUUGAUGUGGCCUUGCUGAAGGUUAACUUGGCAUUUUGGCUAUGUGUUUUGGGGCUGAUGGUAGUCCUGUUAUCUUAGACAUUGUUCUUUUCUCCAAGCAAAUAUCAACAAGAAAUUGUGUUUCCAUUUGAUUAUGAAAGUGAGCUGUAUGCUUAGGAUCAUGCUGUUGAUAAUAACAUAUAUCUCAGUGACUACAGGUUAUGCUUGUGUUUGAUGACCUGAGAGGGUUUGAACAGACACUUUCUCUGUGGUGAUCAAUGUCAGAUACCACAGCAAUAGCACUCACAGGAAUUUAGAACCAGUCAAAACCUGAAUAGGAGAUAUAUGAGCAUGGACAGAGAUAGAGAAAGAACAAUUGUUGAAGAGGCUAAGCAUGUGUGAGACAGAGGAAGACAGUGAGAGACAGAAAGAGAGAGCGGGGGGAGAGAGGGGGGGUGAAGUGGAAAAGAGGACACUGUGAUAUUAAAGCAGAUAUCUUGAUUGACAGAAAUAAGGAAACCAAAUAGAGAGAAUGUGAGUGUGAAAGUGAGAAGCUAGGAGAGUCACUGCAAGUCAAUUUCAGAGAGAAAGUGAAGAAGCGAGAUAGAGAAAGAGUACAUAAGAAGUCCAUUCAUCGGGGCUGGGGAUUUAGCUCAGUGGUAGAGCGCUUGCCUAGGAAGCACAAGGCCCUGGGUUCGGUCCCCAGCUCCGGAAAAAAAAAAAAAAAAAAAAAGAACCAAAGAAGUCCAUUCAUCUAACGUGGAUGAGAAUCUUAUAUGAUAUUUGAAUCAGAUCUCAUCGAAGGCAGAGUAGGACUAAUAGGUGUAGUAUGUUAUGAUUAUGGAUGGUGCUCCGAUUGUGGCCAAAUCUAUAAGAUUCUGAUGGUUUCCAUGGGAAGAGUAAGGCCUGAUUUUCUCUGUCAUAUCCGGCUGAACUGAGAUAUACUUAUUUUUGUAGACACUUCCAUUAAGCCAUGUUAGUGGUCUCAUUCUGUUGUGUACCUCGUGCCAAUUUCUUUGGAUGGUUCUCAAGUGAUGUACAUACUACUGUAGUUUUCGGGAUCAGAUAUUGGCUUCGUCCCAUCUUAAGAACUUUGUUGCAUGGUAACCUCCAGGAAUUCGGUGAUAGAAUUGGGAAAAUUAUGUCCCCAAACAGUUCCUUGGAGGAAAAAUAUCUCUGAUAUGGAUUGUGAGGGCAAAUUUCUAGAGGACGGAAGGAGUGCUGAGAGAGCCCAAGUGUUCGAUAAAUUAAGAACUAACAACAAUGCAUCACAGUCUCCAUGAUAUGCAAGGAAUCCAAUAAAGUGGGGGAAUGUGCUAUUUGCUUCAUUUUCAGGGACAGAGUCCCUGUCUCAUACCGGAAAAGGACGGCUUGCAGAGGAACUGAGUAUGGAACAUCAGAUGAAGUUGGAAGAAGCCUAACAUCGCCUGCCCUGAAGUCCUCAGUUGAAGUUCUCUUGCCUGAGGAUACCUGAAGUGAAAGGGACAGAGUCCUUGUCUCAUACCGGAAAAGGACGGCUUGCAGAGGAACUGAGUAUGGAACAUCAGAUGAAGUUGGAAGAAGCCUAACAUCGCCUGCCCUGAAGUCCUCAGUUGAAGCUCUCUUGCUUGAGUAUACCUGAAGUGAAAGGUAAGAAACACUUGACUUUCCAAAGGAAUUCAAAGUGCUCAAGUGUUGAUGGAGCUCGCAGGAGUUCCCAACCAUGAAUCAUGAUCCUUUGGGAUCUGGUUCAGCCUCACUGCCUGUGGUUACUCCUGUGAUUGGAGAAUAGGCCCAUUGGUUCGUGGUAAAGGAUGUGAAUGUCUUGAAUUCUGUUCGCUCACCAAACCUGAUCUAUUUUGAGUAUACUAAGUGUCAUAGCAGGGGGUACACCAGCGUGCUUGGAUCGGUGAUGAUUUCCAAUAAAACAUUCCUUGGAAAGCUGAACAAAAUGAGUGAAAACUCAAUAUCGCCACUAUCAUCGUGACUGAGGUCCAGCACCUGGGAUCACAAAUGUCAUUGAGGGACUCACAUGGCGUCCAUUCAUCUUGCGAGACUUGGAUCCAGUGAGAGAGCCUUCAGAAUGUUCUUUGCUUGCCUAAAUCACCAGAAAUCAUGGCCUAAAUCAAGGCUUCACCUUUUGCUCUAAUGAUAACAUGCUUUCCGGUUGAGGAGAUCAUUGUCAGUAUCUUGGAAGUUAGCCCUACCAACUCCAUCAGCAAUAAUGUAUAGUAGGUUGUGAGGCAAAUGUAAGUUUAGCGGGGGCAGCAUAGUUCAACAAUGUACACUGGAAUGUCAGGAAAUGUGUUUCUGUCCGUGUCUGAAGCCUUUGCAUGAAUGAAGACACUUCUGUUUCUUAAAACAGAGAUACAUAACGGGAAGGUUACAGGCGACAUGUGGAAUGAGGCAGUAGCAAUUCUCAGGAACUAUGGGAAUGUGGACUCUUCCUGUGUGAAAACAAAGCUCUGUUUUCUUGAAAGACUGAUUGUGGCCAUGGCAAUUAGGUUGGAAAGAGAGCCUUGGAAUUUAAAAGGUUGGCAUGUAGCCUUCUUGUCUGUGGAUUUAGAAGUGCAUGCUUUCAAAUGUCCCAGGAUUCAUACCACCUUCAUGGAUGUAUGGAGAACACCCAUUUUAAUCCUAGUUUCUAUGUUUAUUGUUGGGACAUUUUUUGUCAGUCUAUCCGGGUAGUUUGCCAGCAGUUCUUAUGGAUUGACUGUACCAAAAUGGUCUGGACAUACAUCUCCUCCUCUUCUAGGAUCUAAGAAUGUGAGCAUGCAAGUUUGAAUCUUACACACACUCCUUCUAGGAAUUUUAUAUUUUGGUAUGGCCGUAGAAGAUAGGCAUGGAGUGUCUGCGGGAUUUUCUCUCCUUAUGGUCUUGAUGUGGCCUUGCUGAAGGUUAACUUGGCAUUUUCGCUAUGUGUUUUGGGGCUGAUGGUAGUCCUGUUAUCUUAGACAUUGUUCUUUUAUCCAAGCAAAUAUCAACAAGAAAUUGUGUUUCCAAUUGAUUAUGAAAGUGAGCUGUAUGCUUAGGAUCAUGCUGUUGAUAAUAACAUAUAUCUCAGUGACUACAGGUUAUGCUUGUGUUUGGUGACCUGAGAGGGUUUGAACAGACACUUUCUCUGUGGUGAUCAAUGUCAGAUACCACAGCAAUAGCACUCACAGGAAUUUAGAACCAGUCAAAACCUGAAUAGGAGUUAUAUGAGCAUGGACAGAGACAGAGAGAAAGAACAAUUGUUGAAGAGGCUAAGCAUGUGUGAGACAGAGGAAGACAGUGAGAGACAGAAAGAGAGAGCGGGGGGAGAGAGGGGUGGUGAAUUGGAAAAGAGGACACUGUGAUAUUAAAGCAGAUAUCUUGAUUGACAGAAAUAAGGAAACCAAAUAGGGAGAAUGUGAGUGAGAAUCUGAGAAGCUAGGAGAGUCACUGCAAGUCAAUUUCAGAGAGAAAGUGAAGAAGCGAGAUAGAGAAAGAGUACAUAAGAGGUCCAUUCAUCUAACGUGGAUGAGAAUCUUAUAUGAUAUUUGAAUCAGAUCUCAUCGAAGGCAGAGUAGGACUAAUAGGUGUAGUAUGUUAUGAUUAUGGAGGGUGCUCCGAUUGUGGCCAAAUCUAUUAAGAUUCUGAUGGUUUCCAUGGGAAGAGUAAGGCCUGAUUUUCUCUGUCAUAUCCGGCUGAACUGAGAUAUACUUAUUUUUGUAGAAAACUUCCAUUAAGCCAUGUUAGUGGUCUCAUUCUGUUGUGUACCUCGUGCCAAUUUCUUUGGAUGGUUCUCAAGUGAUGUACAUACUACUGUAGUUUUCGGGAUCAGAUAUUGGCUUCGUCCCAUCUUAAGAACUUGGUUGCAUGGUAACCUCCAGGAAUUCGGUGAUAGAAUUGGGAAAAUUAUGUCCCCAAACAGUUCCUUGGAGGAAAAAUAUCUCUGAUAUGGAUUGUGAGGGCAAAUUUCUAGAAGACGGAAGGAGUGCUGAGAGAGCCCAAGUGUUCGAUAAAUUAAGAACUAACAACAAUGCAUCACAGUCUCCAUGAUUUGCAAGGAAUCCAAUAAAGUGGGGGUAUGUGCUAUUUGCUUUACUUUCAGGGACAGAGUCCCUGUCUCAUACCGGAAAAGGACGGCUUGCAGAGGAACUGAGUAUGGAACAUCAGAUGAAGUUGGAAGAAGCCUAACAUCGCCUGCCCUGAAGUCCUCAGUUGAAGCUCUCUUGCCUGAGGAUACCUGAAGUGAAAGGUAAGAAACACUUGACUUUCCAAAGGAACUCAAAGUGCUCAGGUGUUGAUGGAGCUCACAGGAGUUCCCAACCUUGAAUCAUGAUCCUAUGGGACCUGGUUCAGGCUCACUGCCUGUGGCUACUCCUGUGAUUGGAGAAUAGGCCCAUUGGUUCGUGGUAAAGGAUGUGAAUGUCUUGAAUUCUGUUCGCUCACCAAACCUGAUCUAUUUUGAGUAUACUAAGUGUCAUGGCAGGGGGUACACCAGCGUGCUUGGAUCGAUGAUGAUUUCCAAUAAAACAUUCCUUGGAAAGCUGAACAAAAUGAGUGAAAACUCAAUACCGCCACUAUCAUCGUGACUGAGGUCCAGCACCUGGGAUCACAAAUGUCACUGAGAAACUCACAUGGCCUCCAUUCAUCUUGCGAGACUUGGAUCCAGUGAGAGUGCCUUCAGAAUGUUCUUUGCUUGCCUAAAUCACCAGAAAUCAUGGCCUAAAUCAAGGCUUCAACUUUUGCUCUAAUGAUAACAUGCUUUCCGGCUGAGGAGAUCAAUGUCAGUAUCUUGGAAGUUAGGCCUACCAACUCCAUCAGCAAUAAUGUAUAGUAGGUUGUGAGGCAAAUGUAAGUUUAGCGGGGGCAGCAUAGUUCAACAAUGUACACUGGAAUGUGAGGAAAUGUGUUUCUGUCCGUGUCUGAAGCCUUCGCAUGAAUGAUGACACUUAUGUUUCAUAAAACAGAGAUACAUAACGGGAAGGUUACAGGCGACAUGUGGAAUGAGGCAGUAGCAAUUCUCAGGAAUUAUGGGAAUGUGGACUCUUCCUGUGUGAAAACAAAGCUCUGUUUUCUUGAAAGACUGAUUGUGGCCAUGUCAAUUGGGUUGGAAAGAGAGCCUUGGAAUUUAAAAGGUUGGCAUGUAGCCUUCUUGUCUGUGGAUUCUAGAAGUGUAUGCUUUCAAAUGUCCCAGGAUUCAUACCACCUUCAUGGAUGUAUGGAGAACACCCAUUUUAAUCCUAUUUCUAUGGUUAUUGUUGGGACAUUUUUGUCAGUCUAUCCGGGUAGUUUGCCAGCAGUUCUUAUGGAUUGACUGUACCAAAAUGGUCUGGACAUACAUCUCCUCCUCUUCUAGGAUCUAAGAAUGUGAGCAUGCAAGUUUGAAUCUUACACACACUCCUUCUAGGAAUUUUAUAUGUUGGUAAGGCCAUAGAACAUAGGCAUGGAGUGUCUGCGGGAUUAUCUCUCCUUAUGGUCUUGAUGUGGCCUUGCUGAAGGUUAACUUGGCAUUUUGGCUAUGUGUUUUGGGGCUGAUGGUAUUCCUGUUAUCUUAGACAUUGUUCUUUUCUCCAAGCAAAUAUCAACAAGAAAGUGUGUUUCCAUUUGAUUAUGAAAUUGAGCUGUAUGGUUAGGAUCAUGCUGUUGAUAAUAACAUAUAUCUCAGUGACUACAGGUUAUGCUUGUGUUUGGUGACCUGAGAGGGUUUGAACAGACACUUUCUCUGUGGUGAUCAAUGUCAGAUACCACAGCAAUAGCACUCACAGGAAUUUAGUACCAGUCAAAACCUGAAUAGGAGAUAUAUGAGCAUGGAGAGAGAGAGAGCAAGAACAAUUGUUGAAGAGGCUAAGCAUGUGUGAGACAGAGGAAGACAGUGAGAAACAGAAGAGAGAGAGGGGGGGAAGAGAGGGGGUGUGAGGUGGAAAAGAGGACACUGUGAUAUUAAAGCAGAUAUCUUGAUUGACAGAAAUAAGGAAACCAAAUAGAGAGAAUGUGAGUGAGAAACUGAGAAGCUAGGAGAGUCACUGCAAGUCAAUUUCAGAGAGAAAGUGAAGAAGCGAGAUAGAGAAAGAGUACAUAAGAAGUCCAUUCAUCUAAUGUGGAUGAGAAUCUUAUAUGAUAUUUGAAUCUGUUCUCAUCGAAGGCAGAGUAGGACUAAUAGGUGUAGUAUGUUAUGAUUAUGGAGGGAGCUCCGAUUGUGGCCAAAGCUAUUAAGAUUCUGAUGGUUUCCAUGGGAAGAGUAAGGCAUGAUUUUCUCUGUCAUAUCUGGCUGAACUGAGAUAUACUUAUUUUUGUAGACAACUUCCAUUAAGCCAUGUUAGUGGUCUCAUUCUGUUGUGUACCUCGUGCCAAUUUCUUUGGAUGGUUCUCAAGUGAUGUACAUACUACUGUAGUUUUCGGGAUCAGAUAUUGGCUUCGUCCCAUCUUAAGAACUUGGUUGCAUGGUAACCUCCAGGAAUUCGGUGAUUGAAUUGGGAAAAUUAUGUCCCCAAACAGUUCCUUGGAGGAAAAAUAUCUCUGAUAUGGAUUGUGAGGGCAAAUUUCUAGAGGACGGAAGGAGUGCUGAGAGAGCCCAAGUGUUCGAUAAAUUAAGAACUAACAACAAUGCAUCACAGUCUCCAUGAUUUGCAAGGAAUCCAAUAAAGUGGGGGAACGUGCUAUUUGCUUUAUUUUCAGGGACAGAGUCCCUGUCUCAUACCGGAAAAGGACGGCUUGCAGAGGAACUGAGUAUGGAACAUCAGAUGAAGUUGGAAGAAGCCUAACAUCGCCUGCCCUGAAGUCCUCAGUUGAAGCUCUCUUGCUUGAGUAUACCUGAAGUGAAAGGGACAGAGUCCCUGUCUCAUACCGGACAAGGACGGCUUGCAGAGGAACUGAGUAUGGAACAUCAGAUGAAGUUGGAAGAAGCCUAACAUGGCCUGCCCUGAAGUCCUCAGUUGAAGCUCUCUUGCCUGAGGAUACCUGAAGUGAAAGGGACAGAGUCCCUGUCUCAUACCGGACAAGGA